GACGAACGCUGGCGGCGUGCUUAACACAUGCAAGUCGAACGGAAAGGCCCUGCUUUUGUGGGGUGCUCGAGUGGCGAACGGGUGAGUAACACGUGAGUAACCUGCCCUUGACUUUGGGAUAACUUCAGGAAACUGGGGCUAAUACCGGAUAGGAGCUCCUGCUGCAUGGUGGGGGUUGGAAAGUUUCGGCGGUUGGGGAUGGACUCGCGGCUUAUCAGCUUGUUGGUGGGGUAGUGGCUUACCAAGGCUUUGACGGGUAGCCGGCCUGAGAGGGUGACCGGCCACCUUGGGACUGAGAUACGGCCCAGACUCCUACGGGAGGCAGCAGUGGGGAAUAUUGCACAAUGGGCGGAAGCCUGAUGCAGCAACGCCGCGUGCGGGAUGACGGCCUUCGGGUGGUAAACCGCUUUCGCCUGUGACGAAGCGUGAGUGACGGUAAUGGGUAAAGAAGCACCGGCUAACUACGUG
rnacentral:rRNA from 1 species